AUGAACGCUAGCUACAGGCUUAACACAUGCAAGUCGAGGGGCAGCAUGGUCUUAGCUUGCUAAGGCCGAUGGCGACCGGCGCACGGGUGAGUAACACGUAUCCAACCUGCCGUCUACUCUUGGACAGCCUUCUGAAAGGAAGAUUAAUACAAGAUGGCAUCAUGAGUCCGCAUGUUCACAUGAUUAAAGGUAUUCCGGUAGACGAUGGGGAUGCGUUCCAUUAGAUAGUAGGCGGGGUAACGGCCCACCUAGUCUUCGAUGGAUAGGGGUUCUGAGAGGAAGGUCCCCCACAUUGGAACUGAGACACGGUCCAAACUCCUACGGGAGGCAGCAGUGAGGAAUAUUGGUCAAUGGGCGAGAGCCUGAACCAGCCAAGUAGCGUGAAGGAUGACUGCCCUAUGGGUUGUAAACUUCUUUUAUAAAGGAAUAAAGUCGGGUAUGGAUACCCGUUUGCAUGUACUUUAUGAAUAAGGAUCGGCUAACUCCGUGCCAGCAGCCGCGGUAAUACGGAGGAUCCGAGCGUUAUCCGGAUUUAUUGGGUUUAAAGGGAGCGUAGAUGGAUGUUUAAGUCAGUUGUGAAAGUUUGCGGCUCAACCGUAAAAUUGCAGUUGAUACUGGAUAUCUUGAGUGCAGUUGAGGCAGGCGGAAUUCGUGGUGUAGCGGUGAAAUGCUUAGAUAUCACGAAGAACUCCGAUUGCGAAGGCAGCCUGCUAAGCUGCAACUGACAUUGAGGCUCGAAAGUGUGGGUAUCAAACAGGAUUAGAUACCCUGGUAGUCCACACGGUAAACGAUGAGUACUCGCUGUUUGCGAUAUACAGCAAGCGGCCAAGCGAAAGCGUUAAGUAUUCCACCUGGGGAGUACGCCGGCAACGGUGAAACUCAAAGGAAUUGACGGGGGCCCGCACAAGCGGAGGAACAUGUGGUUUAAUUCGAUGAUACGCGAGGAACCUUACCCGGGCUUAAAUUGCAGAUGAAUUACGGUGAAAGCCGUAAGCCGCAAGGCAUCUGUGAAGGUGCUGCAUGGUUGUCGUCAGCUCGUGCCGUGAGGUGUCGGCUUAAGUGCCAUAACGAGCGCAACCCUUGUUGUCAGUUACUAACAGGUUCCGCUGAGGACUCUGACAAGACUGCCAUCGUAAGAUGUGAGGAAGGUGGGGAUGACGUCAAAUCAGCACGGCCCUUACGUCCGGGGCUACACACGUGUUACAAUGGGGGGUACAGAGGGCCGCUACCACGCGAGUGGAUGCCAAUCCCAAAAACCUCUCUCAGUUCGGACUGGAGUCUGCAACCCGACUCCACGAAGCUGGAUUCGCUAGUAAUCGCGCAUCAGCCACGGCGCGGUGAAUACGUUCCCGGGCCUUGUACACACCGCCCGUCAAGCCAUGGGAGCCGGGGGUACCUGAAGUGCGUAACCGCGAGGAGCGCCCUAGGGUAAAACUGGUGACUGGGGCU
rnacentral:rRNA from 1 species